UGCGGUUUUUCUUGCUGGACGAGAGAAAACGAUGAUGGUGGCAGCCACCAGCCCCUGAUUUUGAAGAGUCUGAGAGACCCUUGGAGGCUCUGAGGAGUGACAUGAUGGUGGAAAAGGAGUCUGCAGGGACUGAAAUAGCUCCAGAACAACUAAAAUUAAAAUAAAAUAAAGUAAAAUAAAAUACAGUAGUGAAGGCAAGUUUUAUGGGAAGAUGCUUUUAAAAUGUGGACUCAUGCAAUUGGAAGGAAAGAUGGCAGAACAAAACCAAAGCCACACAUGGCGAAUGAUGAAGAAUUGACACCUCUUGUUGACUGGGCUCAGCCAGGAGGCUGCAAGCACAGGCCAUCCCUGAUGAAUCAUGGGGCUACUGGCACCAACAACAGGGAGAUGUGUGGCUCCCUGGAGCUCCAGAAGAAACAAGUCACUGCUGAAAAGGGCUUGCCCUAGACCUACAUGCAACCAGCACAAGUGCAGCUGCUUGCCCUGCUGGGAGUCGGAGAGGGCAGCCUGCAGGCUACAGGCAGGAAGAUCAGGCCUGGGGACCCUGGGGAUAUCAAGCGCAGGGAGGUGUGCAGCAGCCAGGAGCUCAUAUAGAAGCUGCCCCACCCCCUCCCCCAUGCCCUGCCUAGCUGCAAUAUCACUCUGACUCUGGACAAUAGCAGGAUAUCUAAAUCAAGUCUCUGCAAUGGUCCAGUAUUUAUGGUGCUUCAGAAACAAGAAACCUUGAACCAGACCAGGGAUGAAUAUUUGCAUGCAAAGCUAUCUGGGCAAAUAUAUAUAUAUUGACACACUGCUAUUUCCAAUGCCACUACUACAAACGAAUAUUUGAUGGAGAGAUGGGGAAUCUAAAGGAGUGGAGCGAUGAGUAAGCAGUGCAAAGAGGCAAGACUAGAGACACAAUGGCAGUAAUAGGUAUGAGAGGGCCCAGGAGGACAGGGGACAGCUAGGGCUAACAGGCUGAUGUAGCCUGGAGCUUGCACUCUGACUCAGCCCUCAAACAUGCUACCCAGUCCAUGAUCAACCUGGUUCUGAGCAACCACAGGAUGUCCCAGAUGAAAAAUGGUUCAUAAUUGGAUCUCCUCAAAAGACUUCUAUGGUCCUUAAAACCCCAAUAUGUGCUGCCUGAAGCCAUGUUGAAGCCAGAGGUUCAUAUGGAUGACCAUGGUCCUAUAGCAGCUGGGAGAGGUGUUGAAGACCCUGGCCCAAGUUACCAAAGGCCACAUGUCCUUGAUGUCCUUGGUCUGGGCUGUUGCUUGAGGUCACCCAGAUAUUCACGGACCAAGCUUCCCAAAAGGGCCAUGUUGAUGUGAGUGGCCUGUGCUGCCAAUGAGGACCAUGUCCAGAUCUGUGGUCCUAUUGCAGCUAGAGUCUGUGUUGAUGUCCAUGCCCCAUGUUCCCACUGAAGGUCAAUGAGAUGUCCAUGCUCCGUGCUGCACCCUGAAUCAUCUGAUGUCUUUAGCCUGUGCUACCCCCAAGAGUUAUGAUAGUAUCCAUGGCCAGUGCAGCGGCAGAGGGCUGUGUUGAUCCCUGUGGUCUGUACUGCCACCUGAGACCACACUGCAUGCAUACGCUGAUGCUGGAGACCUUGUGGAUGUCUGUGGUUCACACUGUUGCCAGAAAACUUGUGUAAGUCUGUGAUCCAUGUUCCUGCUGACUGUAAAGGACAAGGAAGCUACGUUGGCCAUGGUGUUAAUGACUGCAGACUCACAGUUGAGAAAGAGAGGGCUAGGAGCCUUCUGUGACAUAACCUAUCCCCUACCAAAGUAACAGUCUAGACAGAAAGCCCCUAAAGAGAAGUCCUAAAAAUUGCAAUAAGGAUGCUGAAGCAUAGCUUUCCACAGUUGAUGGCUUCUGGCAGGGAUGCAGGUGGGGAAGGGCUUGGUUUUCUUUAAGGGGCUGGCCAUGGGGAGUUUGGUCAUGCUCCAGUGAAUAUAUGAGUACCACAAACUGGGCUCCUCCUCCUCCUCCUCCUCCUCCUCCUCCUCCUCCUCCUCCUCCUUCUCCUCUUCUUCUCCCUCUUCUCCCCCUUUUUUUCUGUGUGGGAGUUUGGGGGGAGGGGAGGCAGACCUGGAAGGACUGGAAAAUGAGGGUGCUCGGGGUUCAUGAUGUGACAUUCCCAAAGAAUCAAUAAAAUAUUAUGAAAAAUGAUUUUUUUUCUUUACAACCUGAACUUACUGUUUCAUUGUACAAUCAACCGUUAGGAGAUUAUAACCAAAUGAUUGACUUGUCCAGGUAAUGAAAGGUGUGAGAAUGUCAGCGCUAAAG
rnacentral:lncRNA from 1 species